UGAACGCUGGCGGCGUGCCUAAUACAUGCAAGUCGAGCGAACGGACGAGAAGCUUGCUUCUCUGAUGUUAGUGGCGGACGGGUGAGUAACACGUGGAUAACCUACCUAUAAGACUGGGAUAACUUCGGGAAACCGGAGCUAAUACCGGAUAAUAUUUUGAACCGCAUGGUUCAAAAGUGAAAGACGGUCUUGCUGUCACUUAUAGAUGGAUCCGCGCUGCAUUAGCUAGUUGGUAAGGUAACGGCUUACCAAGGCAACGAUGCAUAGCCGACCUGAGAGGGUGAUCGGCCACACUGGAACUGAGACACGGUCCAGACUCCUACGGGAGGCAGCAGUAGGGAAUCUUCCGCAAUGGGCGAAAGCCUGACGGAGCAACGCCGCGUGAGUGAUGAAGGUCUUCGGAUCGUAAAACUCUGUUAUUAGGGAAGAACAUAUGUGUAAGUAACUGUGCACAUCUUGACGGUACCUAAUCAGAAAGCCACGGCUAACUACGUG
rnacentral:rRNA from 1 species